GUCCUCACUUUGGCAGCACAUAUACUAAAAUUUGAAUGAUACAGAGAAGAUUAGCAUGGCCCCUGCUCAAUAGGGUACUGGAAAAGAGACAGAAGAGAGGAUCAGUG